CAUCCUCAUCUCUCUUUCUCACACUUUGAACUAGGGUAAAACUCUCGGUGAUGAGGAUGUCGGUGACUUGGUGAGCUCUCGGUGGUGAAGUCAAUGGCACAGGUACCUCAGCUCAUGCACCGUACAAGUAGGAGCCA